rnacentral:rRNA from 1 species
AGAGUUUGAUCCUGGCUCAGGAUGAACGCUGGCGGUCUGCUUAACACAUGCAAGUCGAACGCAGUCCUUCGGGGCUGAGUGGCGGACGGGUGAGUAACGCGUGAGAAUCUGCCUAAAGGACUGGGACAACAGCUGGAAACGGCUGCUAAUACCAGAUAUGCCAGAAAGUGAAAAGGGGUAACCCGCCUUUUGAUGAGCUCGCGUCUGAUUAGCUAGUUGGUAGGGUAAAGGCCUACCAAGGCUCCGAUCAGUAACUGGUCUGAGAGGAUGACCAGUCACACUGGGACUGAGACACGGCCCAGACUCCUACGGGAGGCAGCAGUGGGGAAUUUUCCGCAAUGGGCGCAAGCCUGACGGAGCAAUACCGCGUGAGGGAGGAAGGCUCUUGGGUCGUAAACCUCUUUUCUCAGGGAAGAACACAAUGACGGUACCUGAGGAAUCAGCAUCGGCUAACUCCGUGCCAGCAGCCGCGGUAAUACGGAGGAUGCAAGCGUUAUCCGGAAUGAUUGGGCGUAAAGCGUCCGCAGGUGGCAGUGUAAGUCUGCUGUCAAAGGUCAGGGCUCAACCCUGAACAGGCAGUGGAAACUACACAGCUAGAGUGCGGUGGGGGCAGAGGGAAUUCCCAGUGUAGCGGUGAAAUGCGUAGAGAUUGGGAAGAACACCGGUGGCGAAAGCGCUCUGCUAGGCCGCAACUGACACUCAUGGACGAAAGCUAGGGGAGCGAAUGGGAUUAGAUACCCCAGUAGUCC